GACGAACGCUGGCGGCGUGCUUAACACAUGCAAGUCGAACGGAAAGGCCCUGCUUUUGUGGGGUGCUCGAGUGGCGAACGGGUGAGUAACACGUGAGUAACCUGCCCUUGACUUUGGGAUAACUUCAGGUAACUGGGGCUAAUACCGGAUAGGAGCUCCUGCUGCAUGGUGGGGGUUGGAAAGUUUCGGCGGUUGGGGAUGGACUCGCGGCUUAUCAGCUUGUUGGUGGGGUAGUGGCUUACCAAGGCUUUGACGGGUAGCCGGCCUGAGAGGGUGACCGGCCACAUUGGGACUGAGAUACGGCCCAGACUCCUACGGGAGGCAGCAGUGGGGAAUAUUGCACAACGGGCGGAAGCCUGAUGCAGCAACGCCGCGUGCGGGAUGACGGCCUUCGGGUUGUAAACCGCUUUCGCCUGUGACGAAGCGUGAGUGACGGUAAUGGGUAAAGAAGCACCGGCUAACUACGUG
rnacentral:rRNA from 1 species